UUUAAGUAGAGUUUGAUCCUAGCUCAGGAUGAACGCUGGCGGCGUGGAUAAGGCAUGCAAGUCGAACGGAUUUUUUACUGAAGAAGUUGAGAUUAUAUCAAGAUGACGGAUUUAAAAAAUUAGUGGCAGACGAGGUAGUAACACGUGGGUACGUCCCCUCUAGUCGCGAAUAAUCCAUCGAAAGGUGGACUAAUACGCGAUGGUCUCGCGAGAGUAAAGAUUUAUCGCUAG
rnacentral:rRNA from 1 species